rnacentral:rRNA from 1 species
GACGAACCGUGCGAACGUUAUUCGGAAUCACUGGGCUUAAAGCGCGUGUAGGCGGGAGGGCACGUCCGUCGCUGAAAUCCCCCGGCUCAACCGGGGAACGGGCGCGGAUACGACCGUCCUGGAGGGGCGUAGGGGGACCUGGAACUUCCGGUGGAGCGGUGAAAUGCGUUGAGAUCGGAAGGAACGCCCGUGGCGAAAGCGAGGUCCUGGACGCCUGCUGACGCUGAGACGCGAAAGCCAGGGGAGCGAACGGG